rnacentral:rRNA from 1 species
GGGUAUAGACCCGAAACCCGGUGAUCUAGCCAUGGGCAGGUUGAAGGUUGGGUAACACUAACUGGAGGACCGAACCGACUAAUGUUGAAAAAUUAGCGGAUGACCUGUGGCUGGGGGUGAAAGGCCAAUCAAACCGGGAGAUAGCUGGUUCUCCCCGAAAGCUAUUUAGGUAGCGCCUCGUGAAUUCAUCUCCGGGGGUAGAGCACUGUUUCGGCUAGGGGGCCAUCCCGGCUUACCAACCCGAUGCAAACUGCGAAUACCGGAGAAUGUUAUCACGGGAGACACACGGCGGGUGCUAACGUCCGUCGUGAAGAGGGAAACAACCCAGACCGCCAGCUAAGGUCCCAAAGUCAUGGUUAAGUGGGAAACGAUGUGGGAAGGCCCAGACAGCCAGGAUGUUGGCUUAGAAGCAGCCAUCAUUUAAAGAAAGCGUAAUAGCUCACUGGUCGAGUCGGCCUGCGCGGAAGAUGUAACGGGGCUAAACCAUGCACCGAAGCUGCGGCAGCGAACGUAUCACUUAAAGCGAUUCAGCGGGUUACGAUUGACGGAGCGAAGCGACGUCAAAGCGUAUACAAAGUCGAGUCGGUUUAAGGAUACGUUCGUUGGGUAGGGGAGCGUUCUGUAAGCCUGUGAAGGUGGCCUGUGAGGGUUGCUGGAGGUAUCAGAAGUGCGAAUGCUGACAUAAGUAACGAUAAAGCGGGUGAAAAGCCCGCUCGCCGGAAGACCAAGGGUUCCUGUCCAACGUUAAUCGGGGCAGGGUGAGUCGACCCCUAAGGCGAGGCCGAAAGGCGUAGUCGAUGGGAAACGGGUUAAUAUUCCCGUACUUGGUGUUACUGCGAAGGGGGGACGGAGAAGGCUAUGUUGGCCGGGCGACGGUUGUCCCGGUUUAAGCGUGUAGGUGUGUGUUCCAGGUAAAUCCGGUUCACUUUAACACUGAGGCGUGAUGACGAGGCACUACGGUGCUGAAGCAACAAAUGCCCUGCUUCCAGGAAAAGCCUCUAAGCAUCAGGUAACACGAAAUCGUACCCCAAACCGACACAGGUGGUCAGGUAGAGAAUACCAAGGCGCUUGAGAGAACUCGGGUGAAGGAACUAGGCAAAAUGGUGCCGUAACUUCGGGAGAAGGCACGCUGACACGUAGGUGAAGUGAUUUACUCACGGAGCUGAAGUCAGUCGAAGAUACCAGCUGGCUGCAACUGUUUAUUAAAAACACAGCACUGUGCAAACACGAAAGUGGACGUAUACGGUGUGACGCCUGCCCGGUGCCGGAAGGUUAAUUGAUGGGGUCAGCGCAAGCGAAGCUCCUGAUCGAAGCCCCGGUAAACGGCGGCCGUAACUAUAACGGUCCUAAGGUAGCGAAAUUCCUUGUCGGGUAAGUUCCGACCUGCACGAAUGGCGUAAUGAUGGCCAGGCUGUCUCCACCCGAGACUCAGUGAAAUUGAACUCGCUGUGAAGAUGCAGUGUACCCGCGGCAAGACGGAAAGACCCCGUGAACCUUUACUAUAGCUUGACACUGAACAUUGAGCCUUGAUGUGUAG